GAAGAGAAAAUAUUUUUUGCUUGCUUGAAUGAACAUGCAUUUAAUGUGGGGUUUUAAAAAGUUACUUUUGCCAUUAAUGAGAGGUAUGAGAGAGAAAACCCAUUGAAUAUUGCUUCUAAAGUUGGGAUACUUGUUCCUUCCGUAACACUUCCAUUGUCUUGGUUGGAGCUCAACCUUGGUGACUUUGACUUCAUCUUCCUUCCACCUUCUUCAUUAAAGACAUACCCUACAAGCAUCUUUUCGAGGUUAUUGAAGAAAACAUUUACGAAGACUGCACUUAAAUAUGUACUGCAGUUUGGUGAGCAAAGUUUUAGCUUCAUUAAAGGCACCCAUAAAUUCGCCCUGUGUUGGUAAGAACAUGUAACCAUCAUCUUUAUUUCAUUCAAUGAGAAAGUAAAGUGUUCUCAUUUUCUGCAAUUUAUAUUUAUUAUUACCUAUAACAUUUACAAUGUUGUCAACAAAUGUGUGUAUAAUUCUGGUUUAUAAGGACGGUUAACUUAGAGCACAACGAUGACCUAUGCCUAAAGAAUUCAAAGUUUUUUGCUGGGAAUAGGAAACUUACCAUUCAAGCAAAACGAACAUUAGAGGUUAAUGAUGAUGCUAGAGUCUGGAUAAAUAAGAGUUUCCUCAGUAUUGUCAGCGAUGUAGGGGGAUUCGAAAACAUGGAAUUCAUGGAGAGAGAUGCUAGAAACUACAUUGGCCAACACAGAAGAUCUUUAUGCAAAGACGGAGACGACAAGCCCUAUUAAGACACUUUUCCUCCAUGAAAGAUUACAAUAAUGAAUUUUUUUAUGACAUUGAAUUGGAUGAAGGCAAUAGAAUUUAUAGUGUAUUUUGGGCAGAUGCAAGAAGUAGGGCUGCUUGUCAAGAAUUUGGUGAUGUCAUCUCUUUUGACACUACAUAUUUAACUAAUGAGUAUGAUAUGCCUUUUGCGUCGUUUGUUGGAGUUAACCAUCACGGUCACUCGAUUUUACUCGGAUGUGGAUUGCUAUCGUCUGAAGACACUUCAUCUUUUGUUUGGUUGUUCCAAUCUUGGAUGAGAUGCAUGGGUAAUAAGGCCCCAGAUAGGAUUAUCACUGAUCAAUGUAGGGCAAUGGCGAAUGCCAUCAAAGAAGUCUUUCCUAAUAGUAGGCAUAGGUGGUGUUUAUGGCAUAUAAUGAAAAAAGUGCCCGAAAAAUUUAAUGGCUGUAAAGAAUAUGUUAACAUCAAAAGUGAUCUCAAUGCACUUAUCUAUGAUUGUGGUUGUCCGACGGAGUUUGAGAAUGGGUGGUCUGAUUUAGUGACCACAUACGGAUUGGAGGAUAAUGAAUGGUUAUUUAGUUUGUAUGAAGAAAGACAUAAAUGGGUUCCUUGUUAGUUAAGGAAUGAAUUCUGGGCUGGAAUGUCCACUACAGAAAGAAGUGAGGGAAUAAAUGCUUUCUUUGAUGGAUUUAUAAAUUCAAGUACUUCACUUCAGCAAUUUGUGGUCCAAUACGACAAUGCACUAAAAGUUAAGGCUAAAAAAGAACUACAAGCUGAUUUCUCCUCCCUGAACACCAUAAUUGGCUGUGGAUCACAGUCACCAAUUAAGAGACAAUUUCAACUUGAGUACACACAUGAAAAGUUUGAAGAAGUGCAAAAAGAAUUUCGGUCUAGGAUGAAUUGUUUUAUCAAAGAAACCAUGGCGGACAACUUCUUCAACAUUUACACAAUCAAAGAGGAGCAUAUGUGGGAAGGAAAAUAUUCAAAUAAAUUUUACAAAGUGCACUUUGAUCCAAUGACAAAAAAUGCCACCUGUUCUUGCCUUUUAUUUGAGUUCAAAGGCAUUAUUUGUUGACAUUCCCUUUUGGUUUUCGGACAGGAAGAUGUUUAUAGUGUGCCCGUGAAAUACGUUCUGAAACGGUGGAGUAAAAAUAUUCGUAAAAGACACACUCUCAUUAGAGCAUCGUAUAGUAAUCUCAAUCAACAACCUACCAUGCAAAGAUACUAAAUGUUGUGCAAACAAUUCUUGGUCAUAACGAUGGCAUCAUGUGCAAGGUUUUGGUUUCGCUUUCAAGAAAUUCAACAAAGUUUGAAAAAGAUUGGAAAGAAUUUUGCAGGCAAUAUGGCUUGAAGGAAGGAGAUUUUGUUGUCUUCGAGGUUCACCAUCAUAACCAUGAUAUUACAGUAGAAGUUUACAUCAAUGGAUGUAGCUGUAUUAAGAAUAAUCCAAUAUCGGUGUGAAAAUUAAACGUUACAAUCAAUGUAUUUUAAAUUGCUGUACUUGUUUUUUUUAUUAAUAAAAUAUAUGUUUAAUGUUAUUUGGACUGAAUGUCAUUGGGUGAAAUCACCAUAUUGUUAUUUUUUUUGCCCGAAAAUCAACUCUCCAUCCCCAACACAACACUUAAAACCAAUAAAAUCAAAAACCAAUGCAAAGUUUUCCAGAAAGUUAAAAUUUAAAAUCUUGGUCCACUGUGUAGAAAAAAGUGGUCCCUUGGGAAGGACUUUCUGUACAAAUUGAAGAAAGCAUUCGCGUAAACGUUUACCACCUAUUGGUAAACGUUUACACCAUCCAUUUUCAAUGCACUUGACUAAGGAUUUCAUCCAACCACUUUNNNN
rnacentral:lncRNA from 1 species